UACGUAGGGGUCUAGCGUUGUCCGGAAUUACUGGGCGUAAAGGGCGCGUAGGCGGACAGUUUAGUCAGAGGUGAAAGCCCAGGGCUCAACCUUGGAAUUGCCUUUGAUACUGGCUGUCUUGAGUUCGGGAGAGGUGAGUGGAAUGCCGAGUGUAGAGGUGAAAUUCGUAGAUAUUCGGCGGAACACCAGUGGCGAAGGCGACUCACUGGCCCGAUACUGACGCUGAGGCGCGAAAGCGUGGGGAGCAAACAGG
rnacentral:rRNA from 1 species